rnacentral:rRNA from 1 species
GAUGAACGCUGGCGGCGUGCCUAAUACAUGCAAGUCGAGCGAAUGGAUUAAGAGCUUGCUCUUAUGAAGUUAGCGGCGGACGGGUGAGUAACACGUGGGUAACCUGCCCAUAAGACUGGGAUAACUCCGGGAAACCGGGGCUAAUACCGGAUAACAUUUUGAACCGCAUGGUUUGAAAUUGAAAGGCGGCUUCGGCUGGCACUUAUGGAUGGACCAUGGUCGCAUUAGCUAGUUGGUGAGGUAACGGCUCACCAAGGCAACAAUGCGUAGCCGACCUGAGAGGGUGAUCGGCCACACUGGGACUGAGACACGGCCCAGACUCCUACGGGAGGCAGCAGUAGGGAAUCUUCCGCAAUGGACGAAAGUCUGACGGAGCAACGCCGCGUGAGUGAUGAAGGCUUUCGGGUCGUAAAACUCUGUUGUUAGGGAAGAACAAGUGCUAGUUGAAUAAGCUGACACCUUGACGGUACCUAACCAGAAAGCCACGGCUAACUACGUGCCAGCCGCCGCGGUAA